rnacentral:misc_RNA from 1 species
GAUGAAGAACGUAGCGAAAUGCGAUAAGUAAUGUGAAUUGCAGAAUUCAGUGAAUCAUCGAGUCUUUGAACGCACAUUGCGCCCCCUGGUAUUCCGGGGGGCAUGCCUGUCCGAGCGUCAUUGCUGCCCUCAAGCACGGCUUGUGUGUUGGGCCCCCGUCCCCGGUUUCCCCCGGGGACGGGCCCGAAAGGCAGCGGCGGCACCGCGUCCGGUCCUCGAGCGUAUGGGGCUUUGUCACCCGCUCUGUAGGCCCGGCCGGCGCCAGCAGACACCCAACUUUAUUUCUAAGGUUGACCUCGGAUCAGGUAGGGAUACCCGCUGAACUUAAGCAUAUCAAUAAGCGGAGGA